rnacentral:rRNA from 1 species
AAAAUCCGGGAUCACUUACGCCGAGCACCGAGACGAGUCCUAUGAGGACGAAGUGACUGACACCACGCUUCCAGGAAAAGCCACUAAGCUUCAGCUUAAGAAAAACCGUACCGCAAACCGACACAGGUAGGCAGGGUGAGAAUCCCAAGGCGCUUGAGAGAACUCGGGUGAAGGAACUAGGCAAAAUGGCACCGUAACUUCGGGAGAAGGUGCGCCCUUUGGUGUGGUCACGUGCGUGACUGAGCAUCGAAGGGUCGCAGUAACCUGGCCGCUGCGACUGUUUAUCAAAAACACAGCACUCUGCAAACACGAAAGUGGACGUAUAGGGUGUGACGCCUGCCCGGUGCUGGAAGGUUAAUUGAUGGGGUCAGCCGCAAGGCGAAGCUCUUGAUCGAAGCCCCAGUAAACGGCGGCCGUAACGAUAACGGUCCUAAGGUAGCGAAAUUCCUUGUCGGGUAAGUUCCGACCUGCACGAAUGGCGUAACGACAGCGGCGCUGUCUCCACCCGAGACUCAGUGAAAUUGAAAUCGCUGUGAAGAUGCAGCGUUCCCGCGGCAAGACGGAAAGACCCCGUGAACCUUUACUAUAGCUUUACACUGAACGUUGAGUUCUUCUGUGUAGGAUAGGUGGGAGGCUAUGAAACCAGGACGCUAGUUCUGGUGGAGCCAUCCUUGAAAUACCACCCUGAAGUGCUUGACGUUCUAACCUAGGCCCGUAAUCCGGGUCAGGGACCGUGUAUGGUGGGUAGUUUGACUGGGGCGGUCUCCUCCCAAAGAGUAACGGAGGAGCACGAAGGUACGCUCAGCGCGGUCGGACAUCGCGCACUGUGUGCAAAGGCAUAAGCGUGCUUGACUGCGAGAUCGACGGAUCAAGCAGGUACGAAAGUAGGUCUUAGUGAUCCGGUGGUUCUGUAUGGAAGGGCCAUCGCUCAACGGAUAAAAGGUACUCCGGGGAUAACAGGCUGAUACCGCCCAAGAGUUCAUAUCGACGGCGGUGUUUGGCACCUCGAUGUCGGCUCAUCACAUCCUGGGGCUGUAGCCGGUCCCAAGGGUAUGGCUGUUCGCCAUUUAAAGUGGUACGCGAGCUGGGUUCAGAACGUCGUGAGACAGUUCGGUCCCUAUCUGUCGUGGGCGUUGGAGAUUUGAGGGGGGCUGCUCCUAGUACGAGAGGACCGGAGUGGACGUUCCGCUGGUGUUCGGGUUGUCAUGCCCAUGGCAUUGCCCGGUAGCUACGAACGGAAGUGAUAACCGCUGAAAGCAUCUAAGCGGGAAGCACGCCCCAAGAUGAGAUCUCCCGAGAGCUUGACUCUCCUAGAGGCACCAUCAAGACUAGGUGGUUGAUAGGUCAGGUGUGGAAGCGCAGCAAUGCGUUGAGCUAACUGAUACUAAUGAGCCGUGAGGCUUGACCG